CGGCCCGCAACGACAGCACACGGCCCCAGUGACGUGGAACCAAUAGCGUGCGUUUUGCGCACGGCUCCCGGUUUGCGCAAAAACGAAUAUAAAAACCGCGGCGCGCAGUUCAAAAGCGGCAUCGGGUAAGAGCUCACACAGUGUAUUGGAAUCGGUGAAACAACACCAGCGUCUGCCCCAAGGACCAUGGACCGCGCUUGCAAAUGCGGAGACCCCAAGUGCACCUGCACGGCGCAGUGCGCGUGCGCCACCGGUGGAUGCGGCUGCGACAAGUGCAAGAAGUAACGGGACCGGAAUUUGAAGCGAACAACAUGGCGAGCUUGGGCCCUGCAAGACUUCUGUUGCGCGGGACCAGAGAAAAUAAGUAAACCCACGAAAGUUUUCCGAAGCACAUUUAUGCUUGACAGCUUAGGCCGUCCAGCGGGCCAGGGCUAUUGCCGAGGAUCUCGAGAGAUUUUUCUCCGGCGAUGGACCCCUGGAAGCCUAGCCCCGGGCACCAACAG
rnacentral:lncRNA from 1 species